rnacentral:tRNA from 2 species
GGAGGGUCAGGGUUCCGGUGAACCCUCUGGACUUCAAAUCCAGUAUGGGGCUAUAGACGUCCCGGGUGGGUUCGACUCCCACACCUUCCCGCCA